GAUGAACGCUGGCGGCGUGCCUAAUACAUGCAAGUCGAGCGAACAGAUGAGGAGCUUGCUCCUCUGACGUUAGCCGCGGACGGGUGAGUAACACGUGGAUAACCUACCUAUAAGACUGGGAUAACUUCGGGAAACCGGAGCUAAUACCGGAUAAUAUAUUGAACCGCAUGGUGCAUUAGUGAAAGACGGUUUUGCUGUCACUUAUAGAUGGAUCCGCGCCGCAUUAGCUAGUUGGUAAGGUAACGGCUUACCAAGGCAACGAUGCGUAGACGACCUGAGAGGGGGAUCGGCCACACUGGAACUGAGACAGGGUCCAGGCUCCUACGGGAGGCAGCAGUAGGGAAUCUUACGCAAUGGGCGGAAGCAUGACGGAGCAAGGCCGCGUGAGAGGUGAAGGUCUUCGGAUCGUAAAACUCUGUUAUUAGGGGAGAACAAAUGUGUAAGUAACUAUGCACGUCUUGACGGUACCUGGUCAAGAAGCCACGGCUAACUACGUG
rnacentral:rRNA from 1 species